GCUUGUCUCAAAGAUUAAGCCAUGCAUGUCUAAGUAUAAAUAGUAUACAGUGAAACUGCGAAUGGCUCAUUAAAACAGUUAUAGUUUAUUUGAUAAUUGAAAAUUACAUGGAUAACCGUGGUAAUUCUAGAGCUAAUACAUGCUGGCGUGCCCGACUUUUGUGGAAGGGCGGUAUUUAUUAGAUAACAAGCCAAUAUUCCUCACGGUCUAUUGUGGUGACUCAUAAUAACUGAUCGAAUCGCAAGGCCCUUGGCCGCGAUAAGUCAUUCAAGUUUCUGCCCCAUCAGCUUUCGAUGGUAGUGUAUUGGACUACCAUGGCGUUCACGGGUAACGGAGAAUUAGGGUUCGAUUCCGGAGAGGGAGCCUGAGAAACGGCUACCACAUCCAAGGAAGGCAGCAGG
rnacentral:rRNA from 1 species